GCGAUAGUAGCGCAGCUGGUAGCGCGCCACCUUGCCAAGGUGGAGGUCGCGGGUUCGAACCCCGUCUAUCGCU
rnacentral:tRNA from 1 species